AAAGUACUCCCUCCGUCCCAAAUUUCUUGUCUUAGAUUUGUCUAGAUAUGGAUACAUCCGUAUCUAGACAAAUCUAAGACAAGAAAUUUGGGAUAGAGGGAGUAGUUG
rfam:Triticum urartu cultivar G1812 contig900206, whole genome shotgun sequence.